UUCUUUCGUCUAAUCCAGCAAUCCCCAGUAAAUCCCACCUCCGAUUCAUUAACACCCGUUACAGUCGGAGACUCAUGCGGUGAUUCCUAGAAAUGGGGUGCUGGAGAGAAAAGAUUCGAUGUCGAAGACGAUUAGUUUCUCGUACUCGCCGGCGAUUUCUCGGGCGAACUCAUUUAUGUCGUCGUUGACGGGCGAAACGGAUAGCAAGCAGCAGCCGUCUUCUACAUAAAGGGUGAGUUGGAAUCAGUGAGUUGACUGGGUUUGGG
rnacentral:lncRNA from 1 species